UACGUAGGUGGCAAGCGUUAUCCGGAUUUAUUGGGCGUAAAGGGAACGCAGGCGGUCUUUUAAGUCUGAUGUGAAAGCCUUCGGCUUAACCGGAGUAGUGCAUUGGAAACUGGGAGACUUGAGUGCAGACGAGGAGAGUGGAACUCCAUGUGUAGCGGUGAAAUGCGUAGAUAUAUGGAAGAACACCAGUGGCGAAAGCGGCUCUCUGGUCUGUAACUGACGCUGAGGUUCGAAAGCGUGGGUAGCAAACAGG
rnacentral:rRNA from 1 species